rnacentral:rRNA from 1 species
GUACCUCCUAAUAGCUAGCCCCUCCCCCCCAAAAACAACAAACACCAUUAAUAACCCCUCACGUACAACAAAUGAUAAACAAACCAUUUUCCCUCCUCAGUAUAGGUGAUAGAAAAGGACACAUGGCGCUAUAGAGAAAGUACCGCAAGGGAACGCUGAAGAGAAGUGAAAACCCAGUUAAGAGGCAAAAAGCAGAGAAUUUCCCUCGUACCUUUUAGCAUCAUGACUUAGCUAGUAACACUCAAGCAAAAUGCCUUUUAGUUUGAGCCCCCGAAACUUAGCGAGCUACUCCAAGACAGCCUAUCUUAGGGCAAACCCGUCUCUGUUGCAAAAGAGUGGGAAGAUCUUUGAGUAGAGGUGAUAAACCUACCGAGCUUAGUUAUAGCUGGUUGCCUACGAAAUGAAUAGAAGUUCAGCCUUUACCCUUCUUUCCUCCUCCUGCACAUACUUACCCGAGACACAAAGAAGGCUUAAGAGUUAUUCGAAGGGGGAACAGCCCCCUCGAAAAAAGACACAACUUUAUUUAGCAGGUUAAAGAUUAAAAUAUCUUAGGCAGACUACCUUGGUGGGCCUAAAAGCAGCCACCCAUGCAGAAAGCGUUAAAGCUCAAGUUCUUUUCCUUCCCUAAUACCAACAACCCUAUCUUAAACCCCUUUAAUAAUAGUAGGCCUUUUCAUGCACCUAUGAAAGAGACACUGCUAAGAUGAGUAAUAAGAGGUUGCCCCUCUCCUAAACACUUGUUUACCUCAGAACGAACCCGCGCUGAGAAUUAACGCCCCCAACAAAGAGGGGCCUGGGAAAGCCAAUAGUAAUCUAGAAACUCCCCCAACACUAAGCGUUAGCCCAACACAGGUGUGUUUAAGGAAAGACUAAAAGAGAAAGAAGGAACUCGGCAAACACUGGCCUCGCCUGUUUACCAAAAACAUCGCCUCUUGCAACAAGCGUAUAAGAGGUCCCGCCUGCCCUGUGACUUAAUAGUUUAACGGCCGCGGUAUUUUGACCGUGCAAAGGUAGCGUAAUCACUUGUCUUUUAAAUGAGGACCUGUAUGAAUGGCAUAACGAGGGCUAAGCUGUCUCCUUUUUCGAGUCAAUGAAAUUGAUCUCCCCGUGCAGAAGCGGAGGAUAUAAGCAUAAGACGAGAAGACCCUAUGGAGCUUCAAACACAAUGGCAGCCCAUGUAAAACACCUGGAUGAACGGAAUUAACCAAGUGGCCUCUGCCCUUUUGUUUUUGGUUGGGGCGACCAUGGGGAAACAAACAUCCCCCACGUGGAAUGGGGCCCUCCCCCUAAAGCCAGAGCCACAGCUCUAGCUAACAGAAUAUCUGACCUUCAAGAUCCGGCAAAGCCGAUCAACGGACCGAGUUACCCUAGGGAUAACAGCGCAAUCCCCUUUUAGAGCCCAUAUCGACAAGGGGUUUACGACCUCGAUGUUGGAUCAGGACAUCCUAAUGGUGCAGCCGCUAUUAAGGGUUCGUUUGUUCAACGAUUAAAGUCCUACGUGAUCUGAGUUCAGACCGGAGAAAUCCAGGUCAGUUUCUAUCUAUGAGUAUUCUUUUCUAGUACGAAAGGACCGAAAAGGAGAGGCCCAUGCUUCAGGUAAGCCUCACCCCUACCUAAUGUAAUCAACUAAAAUAGGUAAAGGGGCACACAAGCCCUGCCUGAGAAAAGGCAA